GACGAAGGGGGCUAGCGUUGUUCGGAAUUACUGGGCGUAAAGCGCGUGUAGGCGGUUGUUCAAGUCAGGUGUGAAAGCCCUUGAGCCUCAACUCAAGAAAAUGCACUUGAUACUGGAUGGACUAGAGGACCGGAGAGGAUAGUGGAAGUUCCCAGUGUAGAGGUGAAAUUCGUAGAUAUUGGGAAGAACACCGGGUGGCGAAGGCGGCUCACUGGGACCGAGACGUGACGCUG
rnacentral:rRNA from 1 species